rnacentral:rRNA from 1 species
UACAUGGGGUGCAACCGUUGCUCGGAAUUAUUGGGCGUAAAGCGCACGUAGGCGGUUUGUUAAGUCGGAUGUGAAAUCCCUCGGCUCAACUGAGGAAGUGCAUCCGAAACUGGCAGGCUUGAGUACUAAAGAGGGUCGCGGAAUUCCCGGUGUAGAGGUGAAAUUCGUAGAUAUCGGGAGGAACACCGGUGGCGAAGGCGGCGACCUGGGUAGAUACUGACGCUGAGGUGCGAAAGCGUGGGGAGCAAACAGG